rnacentral:rRNA from 1 species
GACGAACGCUGGCGGCGUGCCUAAUACAUGCAAGUCGAACGCACUCUCGUUUAGAUUGAAGGAGCUUGCUCCUGAUUGAUAAACAUUUGAGUGAGUGGCGGACGGGUGAGUAACACGUGGGUAACCUGCCCUAAAGUGGGGGAUAACAUUUGGAAACAGAUGCUAAUACCGCAUAAAACCUAAACACCGCAUGGUGUAGGGUUGAAAGAUGGUUUCGGCUAUCACUUUAGGAUGGACCCGCGGUGCAUUAGUUAGUUGGUGAGGUAAAGGCUCACCAAGACCGUGAUGCAUAGCCGACCUGAGAGGGUAAUCGGCCACACUGGGACUGAGACACGGCCCAGACUCCUACGGGAGGCAGCAGUAGGGAAUCUUCCACAAUGGACGAAAGUCUGAUGGAGCAACGCCGCGUGAGUGAAGAAGGUUUUCGGAUCGUAAAACUCUAGUUGUUGGUAGAAGAAUGUAUCUGAUAGUAACUGAUCAGGUAGUGACGGUAUCCAACCAGAAAG